GAUGAACGCUGGCGGCGUGCCUAAUACAUGCAAGUCGAACGCUGAAGGAGGAGCUUGCUCUUCUGGAUGAGUUGCGAACGGGUGAGUAACGCGUAGGUAACCUGCCUGGUAGCGGGGGAUAACUAUUGGAAACGAUAGCUAAUACCGCAUGACAACAGUUAUUGUAUGAUAACUGUUUAAAAGGGGCAACUGCUCCACUACCAGAUGGACCUGCGUUGUAUUAGCUAGUUGGUGAGGUAACGGCUCACCAAGGCGACGAUACAUAGCCGACCUGAGAGGGUGAUCGGCCACACUGGGACUGAGACACGGCCCAGACUCCUACGGGAGGCAGCAGUAGGGAAUCUUCGGCAAUGGACGGAAGUCUGACCGAGCAACGCCGCGUGAGUGAAGAAGGUUUUCGGAUCGUAAAGCUCUGUUGUAAGGGAAGAACGAGUGUGAGAGUGGAAAGUUCACACUGUGACGGUAUCUUACCAGAAAGGGACGGCUAACUACGUG
rnacentral:rRNA from 1 species